rnacentral:siRNA from 1 species
AUUGCUUGGCUUGACUUAGUGA